UGGGGUGUGAGCCUAGGCAUUCCAGUAUAGGGGUUAUAGAGCACACGUGAUAAAGACUGUCUUCAGGGGAAUUUAGGAUAUCUUUUAACACAAUUGCUGUUAGAAUUAACCAUAGAAUGAUGGAGAUAUUUGAAUUUAGGUAAACUUCUAAAGACAGUGUGUACAGUCUAAUGAUUCUUGUAUCUAUAAGCACAAAAUCUAGUUUUGACUUUAUGCCAAAACUCACUAGGCAGCAGAGAAGAAGUUAAGACUGGAAGAAUGAAGAGGUAAUCAGCUACCCCAAGCUGGAAGACAGACAGGGAGGCAGUCCUGCCAACUCCGUGUGAGAUGAUGAGGAGCGUCGGGAAGAAAUGGACCCAGGUGAUGGUGCAUCUGUUAUGUGGAAGAUUGCUGAUCUCCUUGGCAGAGGAAAAGAGGGUUCUGCAGGGUCUCACAUCGGCCUAGACACUCAAGAGAGCCAUAAUGGGACCAGCUGAUCAGAGGAACCUCUGCUCCAAUUUCUGCGAACUUGAUUUUUGACCUCCUACGAUCUCUGUUGACAAGACAAGAUUCCUGAGAAUUUGUCACCAUUCAUACUAGUGAGUAGAAUUGAGGAUUACUACCAAUCUGUUGGGACUUUCAAUAUCCCUGUUCAGUUCCUCAU
rnacentral:lncRNA from 1 species